GACGAACGCUGGCGGCGUGCUUAACACAUGCAAGUCGAACGAAGUGGCGCACGGGUGAGUAACGCAGAAUCAACGUGCCCUUCAGAGGGGGACAACAGUUGGAAACGACUGCUAAUCCCGCAUACUGAAGGAGGGGAUUUCGUUUGAUUAGCUAGUGGGCGGGGAAACGGCCCACCAAGGCGAUGAUCAGUAGCCGGUCUGAGAGGAUGAACGGCCACAUUGGGACUGGGACACGGCCCAGAUUCCUUCGGGAGGCAGCAGUAGGGAAUCUUCCGCAAUGGACGAAAGUCUGACGGAGCAACGCCGCGUGAGUGAUGACGGCCUUCGGGUUGUAAAGCUCUGUUAAGCGGGACGCGGUACCGGAAUAGAAAGCCACGGCUAACUACGUGCCAGCAGCCGCGGUAAUAC
rnacentral:rRNA from 1 species